CGCUCAAGCACUGCUCAUUCAUUAUUUUUGAAGGCAGUAGAAAACUAUGGCUGGCCUUCCAGGGUCAGAGGCGAUGAAGGCGUUGAGAAUGUCUUAAUUGCUGAAACCAUGUUCACUGUUAAAGGCACUGGAAGAGGGAGCUUCAUAGCUGGGAGGAGUGUACAUAAUCAAAGAAUUGAACGGCUGUGGCGAGAUGUCUGGACCUGUGUGACAC